rnacentral:rRNA from 1 species
GAUGAACGCUGGCGGCGUGCCUAAUACAUGCAAGUCGAGCGAACAGACGAGGAGCUUGCUCCUCUGACGUUAGCGGCGGACGGGUGAGUAACACGUGGAUAACCUACCUAUAAGACUGGGAUAACUUCGGGAAACCGGAUCUAAUACCGGAUAAUAUAUUGAACCGCAUGGUUCAAUAGUGAAAGACGGUUUUGCUGUCACUUAUAGAUGGAUCCGCGCCGCAUUAGCUAGUUGGUAAGGUAACGGCUUACCAAGGCAACGAUGCGUAGCCGACCUGAGAGGGUGAUCGGCCACACUGGAACUGAGACACGGUCCAGACUCCUACGGGAGGCAGCAGUAGGGAAUAUUCCGCAAUGGGCGAAAGCUUGACGGAGCAACGCCGCGUGAGUGAUGAAGGUCUUCGGAUCGUAAAACUCUGUUAUUAGGGAAGAACAAAAGUGUAAGUAACUAUGCACGUCUUGACGGUACCUAAUCAGAAAGCCACGGCUAACUACGUG